rnacentral:tRNA from 1 species
GCUGAGGUGGCGGAAUGGUAGACGCACAGGACUUAAAAUCCUGUGGCAGCAAUGUCGUGAGGGUUCAAGUCCCUCUCUCAGCACCA